UACGUAGGGUGCAAGCGUUGUCCGGAAUUAUUGGGCGUAAAGAGCUCGUAGGCGGCUUGUCGCGUCGACUGUGAAAUCCCGCGGCUCAACUGCGGGUCUGCAGUCGAUACGGGCAGGCUAGAGUUCGGUAGGGGAGACUGGAAUUCCUGGUGUAGCGGUGAAAUGCGCAGAUAUCAGGAGGAACACCGGUGGCGAAGGCGGGUCUCUGGGCCGAUACUGACGCUGAGGAGCGAAAGCGUGGGGGAGCGAACAGG
rnacentral:rRNA from 1 species